CGCGCGCCCUGGGAGAACCCGCCGCCCGGCGGUACCCGGAGCGCUAGGCCCCGGGCGGCGGCCGGGACCCAACGCGGAGGGAAGCGCAGUGUCCAGCUCCCACGGGUGGAUUCAAUGACGGUUCACGUCUUUGGUUUCGAAUGAAAUGCUUUGAAUAAAAAGGCACAUGUGUAUGUCAGAAUCUCUCCAGUUCUACCAAGUCCAACUGCCAUCCUACCCGUAGACAAGAUUAAAUAAAUUGAAACGAAGUGUGCCUUGCACCACUAAACUGGGGUCUGAAGAGAUUUGGGGGAGAACCAGAGGAAAUGCGGAGCCCCCGAGAGGACCUCCCUGAGACGUAUCCACGCAGACCUGGGCACCCGGGUGGCACUCGAAAAAAUACAAGGGUCAGCAGAGGUCAUGCACCCACUCACACCCCCAUACCUGUCGCCUGCCCUUCCUUCAUCGUGAGAAGCUAUUACCGACUUUGUUAACAUUUGUUAAGGGAAGCGCAGAGUGCAGGAUGGUGACUGAGGUUCAACAAAAGACCGCAGGAAACAGUGAAGCUGCUUCAUUACCGUGGAUCCUGGAGGAAGCACAGGGCAUGCCAAGCUCUUGAAGAAAUCAUCUUCCCUGCAGCCUCCAACUUCUCUUCCCCUUCCUUCCCACCCAUGACUGAAACUGCUUGGUCAAGGCCAUCGUGGGCCACCGCAUCCCUGACUCCAGUGGGCAGUUCCUGGCCCCUGUCGGACUUUCCUUUCAGCAGAUGACCCCCUCACACCCCCUCACCCCAUCUCCGGGCGCUCCUCGCUGGUCUUUCAGGACACCCCGUGCUAACUUUCAGGUCAGUCGUCCUCAGCCUCCCCUGCUGGGAACCCGCCUCUCCCAGCCUCUCCACUUCACAUGCCCAACACUCACAUGUCAGUCUGCUUCCCUUUUUGAGCACACGCCCUUGGUGAUCUCAUCAGUGUUACUGCUUCAAAUGUCACCUUCAAAUGUCACCCUCAUGCCUGUGACACCCAAAGGUCUAUCUCCAGACCUCUCCCCAGCGUCCACCUGUGUAUAUCCUACUUGCUUCUCGGUGGCUACACUCAGGGUCUAAGAACCUUGUAGAAUUUAUCUUGGGCUUCUCUGGUGGCUCAGUCAGUAAAGAAUCCACCAGGAAUGCAAGACAUGGGUUCAAUCCCUGGGUCGGGAAGAUCUCCUGGAGAAGGAAAUGGCCACCCACUCUAGUGUUCUUGCCUGGGAAAUCCCAUGGACAGAGGAGCCUGACGGGCUACCCCCUCCCACCAUGGGAUCACAAAAGAGUCAGACACAACUUGGCAACUAAAUCACCACCAGAACUUAACCUGCCCUAAAUCUAACUCUCUGUCCCACCCCACCAUGUCCCUGAUAGCCUUCCUCAUCUUUUAAAAUGACCACUCUUUCCUCCACUUGCAAGAGUCCAAACCUUUGGGCUUAACCUUGGUUCCUUUCAUUCACUCCCCACAUCCAACAGAUGGAUGGUAGUAGCAAUUCUAUAGAAAGAUAGAGUAAUAGGGAGAAAAGCUGGAAAGGACCCACUGGCUGUAUCAAAGCAUUUCGGGAAAGCUGAGCACCAAAGAAUUGAUGCUUUUGAACUGUAGUGUUAGAGAAAACUUGAGAGUCCCUUGGACUGCAAGGAGAUCCAACCAGUCCAUCCUAAAGGAGAUCAGUCCUGAAUAUUCAUUGGAAAGACUGAUGCUGAAGCUGAAACUCCAAUACCUUGGCCACCUGAUAUGAAGAACUGACCCAUUGGAAGAGACCCUGAUCCUGGGAAAGACUGAAGGCAGGAGGAGAAGGGGAAGACAGAGGAUGAGAUGGUUGGAUGGCAUCACCAACUCAAUGGACAUGAGUUUGAGUAAACUCCAGGAGUUGGCGAUGGACAAGGAGACCUGGCGUGCUGCAGUCCGUGGGGUCGCAAAGAGUCAGACACGACUGAACGACUGAACUGAAUGAUUCCUAGCAAUUGUGAUAGUAACACCUCCACCCAGAAGCCUCUGUAAAUCCUCAUAUCCCAGUGCUUAUCAAUCAGAAUACAAGCUGACUGACUUGUCAGUUACCCAGCCAUUUAGAUUUGAGCAGCCUGAAAGCAGCCUGACUUUGGGGAAGGAAAUGACAUUCAUUGGACAAUCCCUAUGGGCCUGGCAGAGUGCUAGGUAUUUUGCAAAUGCUAACGUAUUUGAUCCUCAGAGCAACCCAAUGAGAUACGUACGAUUUCCCAUUUUACAUCUGCAGAAACUGGGGUUCCAAGAGAUUAACCCAAGAUCUUGUAACUGCUCAGUAGCAAAGUGGAUACUGGAACCUCUGUCUUUUGGACUCCCUACAAAAAAUGUGUAUAUUGAGGAAUGUUUCUCCUGUCCCUCAUGUGUCAUCUAGAAAUUUCACACUAAGGCUGACUUUUUGGUUUCUUGUCUAGUAGUUAAUCCUUUCUUGCCGCUAACAGAACUGAAUUUUCUUUGUGUAUGGGGCAACCCUGUGCUUCAGCAAAGACUGAGCCCUCUCCUAAUCCCCAGAGGCAAUAUUUGACUAGCCUAAGCAAAUGAUGCCCAUCUCAUUUGUCAUGCUGCUUGAUCAGCUGAGGAACAGGCUUGAGAUGCAAUUCUGCCUCCCAAGACUUGAGGGCACAUCUGCUGGGGAGUGGGACCCAAAAGAGGGGCUAUUUUCAUUUGGCUUUAUUUAUUUAUAUGCUUAUUUGCAUUUGGAUGUGGUUGAGAAGGUACUACCUAGAGCUAUUGCAGCCACUUUGCAGUUAUGAGGGAACGAACCACCUGAGAAUAAAACUGACAUGAAGGUA